rnacentral:lncRNA from 1 species
AACUAUUGUUUUCAUUUUUUUUUAUUUUUAAUAGUUUUGCCCUAUCUUGAUAAAAAAUAACUUGAAUGAAUAUAACAUAUUUAUUAAUAUUUACCAAUUAUUCGUUAAACAUAAAUUUAUUUUAUGAAUUAGCUUGUAAAAAUUUGUCACACUUAUACAUAAAUAUAUAUAUAUAUAUAUAUAUAUACAUUUAAAGGACAUAUAUUGGACCAGUGAAGAAUUUAUUUUGAUUUUUAAAAAUAGUAAUAAAUAAAAAGUUAAGAAAUUAAAAAAAAAAAAAAAAAAAAAUAACAUUUUUAUAAAUAAUUUUGAACUUAUGGAUCAGAGGGGGGGUAGUACGGAUCAGUAAAUAUAAGUAUAUUGUACUGUUUAACAUAAUUUUUAAGUACAUUGUAUGAGCAAAAAAAAUAUAUAUAUUUAUGUAUAUAUACAAAUGCAUGUAUGUACAUAAACAAUAUAAAUGAAUUAAAUUGUAUUUAUUUAGACCCCAUGUAAAACAUAUAAAUGUCAGAGUAUUGGAUUAGCACAAAAAAACACUAUUGCGAAACCUGUAAUUGUUGGGUAUCAGGAAAUAAAAUAAAUAUAAAAAAUCAUGAGAAAGGCACAAGACAUAUUGAAAAUUUUAAAAAGUUGAUUAGUGCAUCAUAUAAAAGAAAAGAAAAAGAAAAACAAGAGAAUGAAUUUAUAGAAAAAGAAUUGAAAAAAUUCGAAGAUGUCGAAAAAAAGUUACUUCUUAAUUUAAAAAAGAAUGAAAAUCUUGAAAUUAAUAAAAGUUAUAAUAUAGAAACAGGGAAUAUAAUUAAUAAUAAUAUAAAUAUUGGUGAUAAUAAUAUAAAUAUUGGUGAUAAUAAUAUAAAUAUUGGUGAUAAUAAUAUAAAUAAUGGUGACAAUAAUAACAUACUUAGUAGUAAUAAAAACAUAAUUAAUACAAAUAUAAAUAAUAAUUCUGUUAAUAUUAUUAACAGUAAUAAUGUUAAUAAAAAAAAAUGGACAUUAAUGGUAAAUGAAGACACAGGACGUUUGAUUUUUGUAAAUAUAUUAACAAAUGAAAUAUGUUAUGAAAAACCUAAAGAUUUUUAUGAAAGUAUACCAGAAUGUGAAAUAUUUUCUGAACAAAAUGGAUGGUAUAAAUAUUUCGAUUACAAUGCAAGAAAUUUUUAUUAUUAUAAUAUAAAUAGUAAAAAAGGUAUAUGGCAAUAUAGUUUACAUACAUUAAAUAUUUUGAAUGAUUAUACAAAAAAUUACUAUAAUACAUUGGUAAAAAAUACAAAUAAUUAUGAUAGUAAUAAUAACAACAGUAAUAAUAUAGCAAAUAAUGUUAAAAAUUAUAAUACUACUUUUACAACAACCGUUUUACCAACGGAGAAGAACAUCAAUAAAAAUGUUAAUAAAAACGUUAAUAUAAACUUUAAUGAAAACGUUAAUGAAAACGUUAAUAUAAACAUGAAUUAUCAAAAUUCUCAAUAUUACCUUGAUAAAAUAAAUGGUAUGAAUAACAUAAUGACAUAUAAUCCAGUAAUGAAAAACGGAAUUGAAAAUUUUAAUAAUAAUUUUAAUUAUAAUUUUAAUAAUAAUUUGAUUAAUAAUUUGGUUAAUAAUUCGGUUAAUAAUUCGGUUAACAGUUGUAAUAAAAAAUGGGAAACACAUGAAAAGUUGAAUGAAGAGAUAAGUAGGGUAAAUAAAAUAAGUGAAAUGUCCCAUAUUGAUUCAAUAAAUCGAAACGACGAAAAUGCAAAAGCAAUUAAAAAUAAAAUGAUCAAUACAAAUAUUAACACUUUAUUAGUAGAUUCAGAUGAAAACACAAAAAAGGAAAUGAAUUUACAUAUUGUAAAAAAAAAUACAACAAAUAGUGAAAAUAAUGAUAAGGUAAAUUAUCAAGCUGUGUCAAAGGAUAUAAGUGUUUUAAAACAUGAUAAUAUUUUAAAUAUAGAAC